CGGUAUUAGCAUAGUUGUUUCAGUGUGUCUUUUAAAUGAUGUUUGGGGACAAUUUAGUAUUUUAGCACCUUUUGAAGAUGAGUUCUACUCUCUCCUAACAAACACAUGUCCUCCAUGUGCCACCCAUUAUAGUUAUUUAUUUCUUUUCUAAAGGCUACACCCAGUAACCUAGAUGACCAUUCACUUUUAUCCUCCCUAUGUGCCGCCUUUGAUCCGUAUCACCCCCAUCUCUGCUGUAAAUGCUGCCAUAAUAGGAUUUUUGCUCCGAUGAAUCAGUGUGUUGUGUUUAUCUUCCUAAAAUACACAUAGUUUUAUUAUUGCUCUAUAUAAUUGUGUUAGUUUCUUUAUGUUAUUGAUUAUUAAUUAUGCAAACUUUAGUACCUUUUUAUUGUGUUUUACAGAUUGAAUUCUGUGAUAUUUAUCAAAGAUUAAUUUAUUUUGAAAAUAUGUGUUUAUACAGAAUUCAUAUCCAUGGUCACCUACAAUUAGAGAUUUUGGAAUCCUAAUAUUCCAUAGAUUCAUGGCACUUGGACCCAUGGGGCGUGAGUGAAGGUGUGAGUUGAGGUUUCAAAGUUGAAAAGUGAAGUCUGAUUCCCAUGAAGCAACCCAUGAUCGAUGAAUCCAACCCACGACUCGUUAGUUGGAGUCGUGAGUCAAGUACUGAAGCUUUAGGAUUAGUUUUGAUUUUCACGAGUCAAAUCAUGACUCGUGGAUCUAAUCCACGACCCAACCCACGAGUCGUAGGUGCUACAGACCUGUUUCUCUUACACAAUUUAGGAUAUGAUUUAUUUUUCAUCUAUAAACAAUCCUAUACAGUUCUAUGCUUAUGUUACACGCUCUAUAUACUUUCUUUUUACAUUAUUUUGAGUUUUGAGAUACAUUAUUGAUCUUGAAAUCAUUGAUAUUGAUUUUUAAGAUUUUUUAAUCAAUUUGAGAUUUUGGUUUUUCAUUUUAUUCUUGUAAGUUCAACAUUAUGCUUUUAUCUAUGAAAUCUUUAUGUGUGCUUACGAUCAUGAGUAGCUAAAUCCCAUAACUAAGGUUAUGGGUGUCAAAAUGUUUUUUCACGCGAAAGGUCUAAGAAUUUUUUCAUCUAAAGUGACAAUAUUGAUUAGGGAUUAUUUAAUUUAUAGAGACACCACUUGAAAUUGAUUUAUGGUAUUUCAAGUCACCUUAUUAAAUCCCUAGUCAAAAGAAAAUGACUCUUUAUUUUGGUCUACGAAAACAGAAGAUCGAGUAAGGAAUUCUGUUGACUGAGGGAAAGGUAUGAGGCAUCACUCGAGUCCCAUGGUUCUAGCAUGGUUGAUUUUAUCAACUUAUACUUAAGAUAUUUUGGAUAUAUUGCGUUAGUAGGCCUUGAUUCAAUCAUUUUAUAAUGUAGCGAUAAUAUCUAUCUAUUCCUCCUGGUUAGUCUAGUGAAGGUUAAUUUUAGGACAAUCUUUGCCAAGGUACAUUAUUGCAUCUGUGAAUUAUUUUUAAAAGUUUCAGAAAGAUGCGUUCACUGCAUUAUUAAUCAAGACAAAUAUAUUAAACGUGCCUGAAGCUUAUCUAGCGUUAAAGGAAUUGGGUCGUCUCUUGUAAACCCGAGACAAUUUUUGUCUUAUCCAUUUUUACUUUUUACUCUUUUUUUAUUUUGCAACAAGUCUUGAAUUAAUUCACAACUCGCCACACUAUCUUACAAAUAGAUUUUUUUCUCUCUUUUCUUUUAUUAUUUAUGACGAGUUUUAGAUGAGUCCGCAACCUUUCUUACUCAAGCUUACAUUAAUUAAUAAUUAUUUAGAUCUUAAAAUCGAUUUAGACCUACGAUAAAUAUUUUAAUAAUGAAAGGAUUGAACCAACAUUUAUCAUGAUAAACAUAAAUAAGGUAUCAAAUUUUGCAAUACUACAACUUACCCAUAGAAACACAAGAAAAAAGACAAUUAAGCAAAUUCAAAUGGCCAUAUAACAAAUCUCUUAUCUUGGUUUCCC
rnacentral:lncRNA from 1 species